AUAACAACUCUCGGCAACGGAUAUCUCGG
rnacentral:rRNA from 1 species